rnacentral:rRNA from 1 species
UCCUGGCUCAGGAUGAACGCUGGCGGCGUGCCUAAUACAUGCAAGUCGAGCGAACGGACGAGAAGCUUGCUUCUCUGAUGUUAGCGGCGGACGGGUGAGUAACACGUGGAUAACCUACCUAUAAGACUGGGAUAACUUCGGGAAACCGGAGCUAAUACCGGAUAAUAUUUUGAACCGCAUGGUUCAAAAGUGAAAGACGGUCUUGCUGUCACUUAUAGAUGGAUCCGCGCUGCAUUAGCUAGUUGGUAAGGUAACGGCUUACCAAGGCAACGAUGCAUAGCCGACCUGAGAGGGUGAUCGGCCACACUGGAACUGAGACACGGUCCAGACUCCUACGGGAGGCAGCAGUAGGGAAUCUUCCGCAAUGGGCGAAAGCCUGACGGAGCAACGCCGCGUGAGUGAUGAAGGUCUUCGGAUCGUAAAACUCUGUUAUUAGGGAAGAACAUAUGUGUAAGUAACUGUGCACAUCUUGACGGUACCUAAUCAGAAAGCCACGGCUAACUACGUGCCAGCAGCCGCGGUAAUACGUAGGUGGCAAGCGUUAUCCGGAAUUAUUGGGCGUAAAGCGCGCGUAGGCGGUUUUUUAAGUCUGAUGUGAAAGCCCACGGCUCAACCGUGGAGGGUCAUUGGAAACUGGAAAACUUGAGUGCAGAAGAGGAAAGUGGAAUUCCAUGUGUAGCGGUGAAAUGCGCAGAGAUAUGGAGGAACACCAGUGGCGAAGGCGACUUUCUGGUCUGUAACUGACGCUGAUGUGCGAAAGCGUGGGGAUCAAACAGGAUUAGAUACCCUGGUAGUCCACGCCGUAAACGAUGAGUGCUAAGUGUUAGGGGGUUUCCGCCCCUUAGUGCUGCAGCUAACGCAUUAAGCACUCCGCCUGGGGAGUACGACCGCAAGGUUGAAACUCAAAGGAAUUGACGGGGACCCGCACAAGCGGUGGAGCAUGUGGUUUAAUUCGAAGCAACGCGAAGAACCUUACCAAAUCUUGACAUCCUUUGACAACUCUAGAGAUAGAGCCUUCCCCUUCGGGGGACAAAGUGACAGGUGGUGCAUGGUUGUCGUCAGCUCGUGUCGUGAGAUGUUGGGUUAAGUCCCGCAACGAGCGCAACCCUUAAGCUUAGUUGCCAUCAUUAAGUUGGGCACUCUAAGUUGACUGCCGGUGACAAACCGGAGGAAGGUGGGGAUGACGUCAAAUCAUCAUGCCCCUUAUGAUUUGGGCUACACACGUGCUACAAUGGACAAUACAAAGGGCAGCGAAACCGCGAGGUCAAGCAAAUCCCAUAAAGUUGUUCUCAGUUCGGAUUGUAGUCUGCAACUCGACUACAUGAAGCUGGAAUCGCUAGUAAUCGUAGAUCAGCAUGCUACGGUGAAUACGUUCCCGGGUCUUGUACACACCGCCCGUCACACCACGAGAGUUUGUAACACCCGAAGCCGGUGGAGUAACCUUUUAGGAGCUAGCCGUCGAAGGUGGGACAAAUGAUUGGGGUGAAGUCGUAACAAGGUAGCCGUAUCGGAAGGUGCGGCUGGAUCACCUCCUUU